rnacentral:lncRNA from 1 species
UGAUCAAGGAAGGAGCAUGAAACAAGGAUAAAUAAUAAGUAGGGAUGCUAGAAACCACUGAUGGAUUUAGUAUAGGCCCAGGUGACUCGAGUUCCCCUUUAAUUUUAUGCUAUUUAUAUAAAAUAUAUAUGUAUAAACUGAAAUAAUACUAAUAACAAUAGCUAGCCUAGUGGUAAGACUGUCAUACAACCCCCUCUAGACCCAAGUUCAAGCUCCACACUCCUUACAUUCUCUUCUAGAUUACUUUCACUGAAUUCUAAAGUUCCCCGUCAACAAAAUUUUUGGAUCUAUCAUUGUGAGAAAGAGUAGUUUGAAUGAUUGUGUGCCUAAAGCCACAACCUUUAGAGAUAAAGGUAUACAUCCAAUUAUGAAGCUUAUGUCGAAUCCUCUCAACAAUCGAAUGCCAAAAAGUAGUUGCCCUAGCCUUCCCACCCAAAGGCACGCACAAGUAGGUAGACAGGCAACAACCCAGUUUACAACCAAAUGUGUUCAAUAUCUAUUCAAAAUCAAAAUCAAUAACAUUAAUCCCAAGCAACUCACUUUUAGAGAGAUUAAUUUUCUAAGAAAUACAAACAUUGACAUACUG